AUCCAGCUGAGGAGUCCCAAAUAGGACGAAACCGGCAUCCUGGAU
rnacentral:hammerhead_ribozyme from 1 species